AGGCCUAACACAUGCAAGUCGAACGGUAACAGGAAUUAGCUUGCUAAUUUGCUGACGAGUGGCGCACGGGUGCGUAACGCGUAUGCAAUCUACCUUGUACUGGAGUAUAGCCCAGGGAAACUUGGAUUAAUCCUCCAUAGUCUAUUGAUAUGGCAUCGUAUUAAUAGUAAAGGUUACGGUACAAGAUGAGCAUGCGUCCUAUUAGCUAGUAGGUGUGGUAACGGCACACCUAGGCAACGAUAGGUAGGGGUCCUGAGAGGGAGAUCCCCCACACUGGUACUGAGACACGGACCAGACUCCUACGGGAGGCAGCAGUGAGGAAUAUUGGACAAUGGGCGGGAGCCUGAUCCAGCCAUGCCGCGUGCAGGAAGACUGCCCUAUGGGUUGUAAACUGCUUUUAUACGGGAAGAAUAAGUGUUACGUGUAGCACGAUGACGGUACCGUAAGAAUAAGCACCGGCUAACUCCGUGCCAGCAGCCGCGGUAAUACGGAGGGUGCAAGCGUUAUCCGGAAUCAUUGGGUUUAAAGGGUCCGUAGGUGGACUAAUAAGUCAGUGGUGAAAGUCUGCAGCUUAACUGUAGAAUUGCCAUUGAUACUGUUGGUCUUGAAUUGUUGUGAAGUAACUAGAAUAUGUAGUGUAGCGGUGAAAUGCAUAGAUAUUACAUAGAAUACCGAUUGCGAAGGCAGGUUACUAACAAUAUAUUGACACUGAUGGA
rnacentral:rRNA from 1 species